ensembl:lncRNA
GGGAUAAUUUAGAAGUUUUUCAUUUUAACACAUACUCUUCUAAAAGAGUGCGUACGCACAGUCAAGAGCAUCCUUAUGGUGCGCACUUAUUUACGGCAAGUUUAUUUUUUAUAAAUCCCGAUAUGUGCGUGGAAAAAUGUGUACGCAUAUUUCUAUGCCCAUUUUGUGCAUACGCAACGUUUAUACAUCAGGCCCCUGGUCUGUCGGCGGCCUCCCUCUAUGUCACCUACAGCAGCAGCAGCGCGCCAGCGCCGCGUCAGGCACGGUUCUGCUGUGUAAAGACACAGAAAACGCGACGCAGCCGCCACGCAACUGACACGCCACGCUCACGCCACGCAGCCAGUGUGUCACCGGCCUUAUCCAAGCGCAAAACUGAUGCUGGCGCGCGCGCUUGAUUGCUUCCUCGAGAGGAUUCCAGAUCUAUGCGCGAGGAAACGGGAACUCGCGAGUUUAUUUCAAAUAUUACGCGCGCGCGCGUGACAUCUCCUCCGCACGCAAUACAAUCCCUCGCUCGAACAUGUCUUACAGCACACGCAUGAUCAUUCCCCAUGCUCUCGCGCUCAAUCUGCUCUCACCUGCUGCUUUUGCUCGCUCAAACAAAUUUAGUUUUGGCAGUCGAGGGGCGGGGCUUACUGUUUUUAUAACCUCAGAUGUCAUUGGUUACGUCCCCUUUUCCGGAAGUCUGUUGUGAUUGGACACCUGUGAUUUUCAAUCAAGAACGUCAAAGGAACGACAGCUGAUAUAAACGAUCAAGAUUCGGCAAGAAAGAUGGAUAAUCAAAGAGAGGCCGAGUUGCAGAAUGCUGCCAGGCCCGUUGUGUCCCUUUUACGCAGUGCCCUAACUAGUGAGUCAAGCUCACCAUCACAGAUGGACACAAAGGGCUUCAGUUUUGUAUACAGUUUUGAAUGGUUUCAACAGAUAUCUAAACUAUUGUUGGAGAUGUAUACAAAAAUGGACUCAUUGGAGGGAGCCUGGAUGCUCUAUAAAGCUGUUGGUAAGAUAACUUGGUUGAUAUUUAAAUUUUAUUGUGACUUCAACUUUACACAUCACUAGACUGGAUUGUUAAUUUGAGUGGCAUCUCUGCUAAAAGUAUGACCUCUUUAAAAGUACUCACAAAAUUAGUUUAUCUUAGUUUGUUUACCUUGGCUAUCAAUGUUAGAGUGAAAUACAAUAUUAAUUCAUUUCUGAAAACAUUUAUUUCAUAUAAAUAGCUGAUAGUGGCUUCUGAUCUUUUUCACUCAGGUGGAUCAGGUCAGCGAAAGCUGAACAUUGUUGCUCCGGAAGCUGAAGGAUACACAGGGUCCUAUCUCAUCAAAACUGCAGGAGGAAAGGGCUGUCUGUAUAUCAUGCCUCUACAGAAUACUCUAGACAUCUCUCCUUUACCGUACUCUGUAAAAGAGUUUGAGAAAAUGCCGAAAGCACGAUGCGCUAAUUGUUUCACAGAUAUGCCUGUUCAGCUGCUGGCGGUGCACGUCCAGAAGUGCGAUACAGACCUGUGUAUUGACAUCAGUGAUUGUGAAUCAGUAAAGUCAAUUUCAUUUUUAAAUGUUUUCAUUUCACUCAUAGUAAAUAAAAUAUUAAUUAAAAUUUACA